CCUUCGAUAGCUCAGUUGGUAGAGCGGUGGACUGUAGUUCGAAGUCGAUAAUGUGUGGUGGGUGACCGUUAAAGUGUGUGUUCGUGGGCCUGUUGAGUGCAUUCGCGGCCCGGAAAAGGAAGUACGCAGUGUACUUAUUAUUAUAGACGGCCCUCAAGGACACGCUCUCGAUCGGUCAGUCAUCAUUGAAUUUUCCAUUAGAGAUAUCCAUAGGUCACUGGUUCAAAUCCGGUUCGAAGGA
rnacentral:tRNA from 1 species